UACGUAGGGGGCAAGCGUUGUCCGGAAUCAUUGGGCGUAAAGAGCGUGUAGGCGGCUUGGCAAGUCUGGUGUGAAAUCUUGCGGCUCAACCGCAAGCGGUCACUGGAAACUGCCUCGCUAGAGUCCGGAAGAGGAGAGCGGAAUUCCUGGUGUAGCGGUGGAAUGCGCAGAUAUCAGGAAGAACACCCGUGGCGAAGGCGGCUCCCUGGGACGGUACUGACGCUGAGACGCGAAAGCGUGGGGAGCGAACAGG
rnacentral:rRNA from 1 species